AUUCUCAUAAUUUAAGAUUAAAAUGUUGCAUUGAAGCUGCAAAUAUGACUUAAUAGUCUGUGAAUG
rnacentral:tRNA from 1 species